rnacentral:rRNA from 1 species
AGUGAACGCUGGCGGCGUGACUAAUACAUGCAAGUCGAAGGAAGUGGCGCACGGGGGAGGAAAAUAUAGCUAAUCUGCCCCUUGCUGGAGAACAACAGUUAGAAAUGACUGCUAAUACAACAUAGAAAGGGAUGAGACUAUCUCGUAUCAGCUAGUCGGUGGGGUAACGGCCUACCGAGGCUAUGACGCGUAACUGGUCUGAGAGGAGGAUCAGUCACAUUGGACCUGAGACACGGUCCAAACUCCUACAGGUGGCAGCCGUAGGGAAUAUUGCGCAAUGGGGGAAACCCUGACGCAGCAACGCCGCGUGGAGGAUGACACUUUUCUGAGCGUAAACUCCUUUUGUUAGGGAAGCGGUACCUAACGAAUAAGCACCGGCUAACUCCGUUCCAGCCGCCGCGGUAAUAC